AUGGGAAUCGUGGUGAAUAUUGGAUCCAAAAAUUCAAAUCGCAAUUAGUGUCACCAUCGUCAUUGGCUACAGCCUUACUAAACAAAUCAAAUUCCACCCCGAACCCGUUGUCGAUUCUCUCACCAUUCAUCCCACCAAGCCCGGAUUUCAGGACUUUCAUUGAAAGGCUGGCUGUUUUAAUGGCGUUCGCAGCCCAAUCCAAUCACCAACUGUAGCAAUAAACACCACACUGAUCACUACAAACGCGGCGUUCUAUAGCUUUUACAGAGUUUCAGGACAUGGGUCACCACCACCAUCUCCACAACGCCAGCGAUGGCGUCUCGCAGCGAGUCAACAGCCCGAGAUUCUCCGGUGCAAUGACGCGCCGAGCUCACUCAUUCAAGCGCAACCCCAACGCCAGUGCCGCCGUCGCCAACACCGGCAGCUCACACAGCAACAACUGAAGUGGCAGCGGCACCAACGGUGGCAAUGGCGUGUUCGGGGGCGCCGGCGAGUACGAGAUUGACCUCCAGCUGAACUUGCCCAGAUCUGAAAUCGGCGGGAACUCGGUUCCAGGUGAUGGGUUUGACUCGGUGUUGGAAAGGAAGCAGACCCACAACCAUGUGAGCCAGAGAGUUGCAGCGAGGGGGUUUCUGAGAAGGCCAAUUGGAUCUGCAGUGGUGGACUUGGGGUUGAGGGAGAAGAGGAAGCUUGGCCAUUGGAUGUUCUUUGCAUUUUGUGGAUUUGUUUGUUUCUUGGGAUUCUGAAGAUUUGUGCAACUGGUUGGUUUGGAUCUGUUAUUGAAACUGCUACGUCCAAUCAGGAUGGUUCUGACUCCAUGAAUCUUUUAAAACGGAUGGAUCAAAGCUCUCAUGAAUAUGGAUAUCGGGAUGGAGGAGGUCAUGUUGAACAAACUAUAAUGAUGGCUUCUAGUGUGAACCGUGUGGUUGUUGAAGAGAAAAGCGCUGAGCACACAAGUAUCUGGUCCUGACCAAACAGUGAGAAUUACAGUCAUUGCAUUGAGUUGUCAAAAAUUCACAAAAAGCUGGACGUGAAGACCAAUGGUUACAUUCUUAUAAAUGUCAACGGCGGCUUGAAUCAGAUGAGAUUUGGGAUUUGUGAUAUGGUUGCUGUUGCUAAGAUUAUGAAGGCAGCGCUUGUCCUACCUUCACUUGAUCACACUUCCUACUGGGCUGAUGAGAGUGGUUUUAAAGAUCUGUUUGAUUGGCAACACUUUAUUGAAACUCUAAAGGAUGAUAUCCACAUAGUUGAGACAUUACCCUCUGCCUAUGCUGGAAUCGAGCCAUUCAACAAGACACUAAUAUCUUGGUCAAAGGCUAGUUAUUAUAAGUCAGAGGUUCUCCCACUGUUGAAGCAGCACAAAGUAAUCUAUUUCACUCAUACAGAUUCUCGGAUUGCCAAUAAUAACCUCCCAAAUUCCAUCCAAAGGCGGAAGUGCCGUGUGAAUUACAGGGCGUUGAAGUAUUCAGCUACAAUAGAAGAACUUGGAAAAACCUUGGUUUCUAGAAUGCGGCAAAAUGGAGGCCCUUAUCUUGCUCUUCAUCUGAGGUAUGAGAAGGAUAUGCUUGCGUUUACGGGCUGCAGUCAUAGUUUGACAGCAGAAGAGGACAAAGAACUACGUAGAAUGCGAUAUGAAGUCCGCCACUGGAAGGAGAAAGAAAUUAAUGGGACAGAGAGAAGGUUGCUUGGGGGCUGCCCACUGACGCCAAGGGAGACUUCACUUUUGCUCAGAGGGCUUGGUUUUCCAUCCACUACCAGGAUUUACUUGGUAGCUGGUGAAGCUUAUGGGAAUGGAAGCAUGCAACAUCUUGAGGAUGAAUUCCCCAACAUAUUUUCCCAUUCCACUCUCACCGAAGAGGAAGAGCUGAGUCCAUUCAAGAAUCAUCAGAACAUGUUGGCUGGUAUAGACUAUGCUGUUGCCUUACAGAGUGAUGUUUUUCUUUAUACAUAUGAUGGAAACGUGGCAAAAGCAGUGCAAGGUCAUAGGCACUUUGAGAACUUUAAGAAGGACCAUCAAUCCAGACGGGAUGAAUUUUGUAAAACUUGUCGAUAAAUUUGACGAAGGAAAAAUCUCUUGGAACAAAUUCUGUUCCAAGGUGAAAAAGCGUCACAUAGACAGAGUUGGAGCUCCAUAUCCGAGAGAGCCUGGUGAGUUUCCGAAACUGGAGGAAAGCUUUUACGCGAAUCCAUAUCCAGGCUGUAUACGUGAAACAAGAUGGAAAAAGUAGAGGCUGCUAAAAGGUUUUGCAUUAAAUCACUGCAUGAGAUCAGCUUCGCGCAAGACAUCAAGGUAUGUGCUGCCAUUAUUUCAAACGAAUCGACAUGAGGGUGGCAAUCUUAAAUUUCCAACUGCAAAAAAAAUCAGUAGGUAAUUUGGCAUCGUUGGGGGUGAAAAAACAAACCUUCGAGCAGUUUAAACUGGGACACGAUGUUCUUGGCAGCCUAAUUUGAGGUUCAACACAGAAGUCACUUGUGCGUUCUCCCAACGACUACUGGAAAGUAAAGAUUGAUACCAUGAACAGAGAACCUCCUUGCCAGUGUACCACAGCAAUUAGAUUUACACUGAAGUUUUAUUCUGCACGUAUUUUUUCGUACUUUUUUUGUCCAUAGCAUUUUUACUGAGCAGGUAGGGGGCUCCAAAAUUGAUAGGGAUACAAAGGGUUGAUACCGAAUUGAAUGUAUUACUUCAAGAUUUCAAUAGUACAAAAAUGUAAUUCAAAGAAUAUCAAUUUAAUUACAAGCUGCAAUUUGAGGAA